CUGCAUGCACUGAUAGCCCUAGAGCAGUUUGUCGUUGUUCUUCUAGUCUGUUCUAGGGUGCAAAAGAAAUGUGCCCUGGGUGUUCUGCCUGGCCCUGUGGCGUCCAGAUUGAAUUGGCGAGUACGUCU
ensembl:snoRNA